UAAUGUCAGUUGUAUUGUCCAGUGAAACCAGUUAAUAUAUUGUACAUUUAUUACAAUGUAAAUAUAUUUCAGAUAUAAUGUAGAUCUAUAUUGUAUGUUUUUAUUACAGAGUAAAUAUAGUAAAGAACCUACUGGUAAUAUGAUAUGGAUGUCUAUCAAUCUUUAUAAAACUAUGUGACUUUAGGACCACUGGAAAGAACACCUAUGAAUUUCCACCAUGUAAUCUAUGAAGGCUGAUGUUUAGUAGGCACAAUGACAAGUGCACCGAUAAUUGCUACAAUGGUUUUAACAGUGAAGUGAUUGACAUAUCUGUUCAUGAUGUGACUGCAUGAAAACUCUACAGAGAUUUAACAUGACACAAUCAGAAACGGAACGGCAUGGGAUUCAACACAAUGCUUCAGUCAUUUUGAGACUAGUAUAUGCUAAGAUGUUUGCCAGAUGGUCGGAGAAAAAAUAUAAACAGUUUUGGAUAAUAUCAAAUUUUUCAUGGCUUGGUAUAUGCUAAAGUAAUGCUUACUUGCUGUGUUGGCUGUAUAUCAUCUGCAGAGGAUACCAAAGGUUGACAAAUUUUCAAUUUGCCAUAUCUUUGUAAAUACUGAAUGAAAUUUAACCAUUUUUUACACUGAUAUAAUUCCUUUUAGAGAUUCAACUUUCAUAAUUAUAGUUUGCAAGGGAUUCAAAAUCCCUCAAAUAACAUUAACAGUGGUACUAAACAAUGUUUGGACUGACAUUCGUUUUGGACAUUCAACUUUUAGUUUGCAAGGGAUCAUAAAUCUCUCUAAUGAUGAUCAGUGGCUUGUCAAAUAUCCUUACGUUUACUGAAAUAGGCCUAAGCAACAUCAACUUACUUGAAAUGCAUCACCUGUGGUCCAGCUAUAACCAUCUUUCUCUCCCUGUCGACUUCUACUUCCACUUUACCUUCACCAGGCGAUGGCGGUCUUAAUCUCCCGAUUACUUCAAUAUUCAUGGUUACGGCUUAACAGGAUCACCAAUCAUUCAAUUCAAAUUCUAUAAUUGUGAAAAUUAUUGUUUAUAAUCAAACUAUAAGUUAUAUGAAAUAGGAAUUUAAGAUGGGCAUUUUUGUACUAUAUGAGCAAAAUUUUGCCGUGACAAACUAUAGCACUCUACCUAUAUAGCCUACUCUUACUUCAAUUUCCAACUAUCAUGGGCAACAUUACAAACUCAGGCUGACAACAGUAUUUGUGCCAUGUACAAUUUUGGCUUAUCGUGGUAAAUAUAUCAGAUAGGCCUACCGGUAAUAAUAAUAAUAAUAAUAAUACUACUAAUAAUAAUAAUAAUAAUGUAUAUUUAUAAAGCGCAUAUAUCCAUCCAUAAAUGCAUGCUCAAAGCGCUAACAUAUGUACACUAUUCAACUGUCUUGGUCAUUAAUGGUCAUAUUCACGUUGAAAUAGAUACGUUUUUAAUCUAAUUUUAAACGAUUCCAUUGAAGGAGCAGAUUUAACACUCGGUGGCAGGGGAUUCCAGAGAUUAGGAGCACUGAGUUUGAAUGAUUUGUAUCCGAAUGUUUGAAGGUUAUAUUUAGGAACCACAAGCGGUAUAUAAUUUCUUAAUGCCACUUAAAAAACUAAAAAAAACUUAAUAGAU